GACGAACGCUGGCGGCGUGCUUCAUACAUGCAAGUCGAACGAGAAGCUGACUUCGGUCUGUGGAAAGUGGCGGACGGGCGAGUAAUAUGUAGGAAAUUUGCCUUUACGAGGGGGACAACAGAGUGAAACUUCUGCUAAUACCCCAUAUGAGCGUAGCUGAAAUGCUAUUCUUGGAAACUCCGGUGCCUAAAGAUGAGCCUGCAUCUGAUUAGCUAGUUGGUAGUGUAAUGGACUACCAAGGCGACGAUCAGUAGCUGGUUUGAGAGAAUGAUCAGCCACAAAGGGACUGAGACACGGCCCAUACACCUACGGGAGACAGCAGUAGGGAAGUUUGCGCAAUGGGCGAAAGCCUGACGCAGCAACGGCGCGUGAACGAUUACGUCCUGCGGGGUGUAAAGUUCUGUCAGUGGGGACGAAACUUGACGGUACCCACAGAGGAAGCACCGGCUAACUACGUG
rnacentral:rRNA from 1 species